CACGGGGGGAGCAAGCGUUGCUCGGAAUUACUGGGCGUAAAGGGCGCGUAGGCGGAUAGUUUAGUCAGGGGUGAAAUCCUGGAGCUCAACUCCAGAACUGCCUUUGAUACUGAAGAUCUUGAGUUCGGGAGAGGUGAGUGGAACUGCGAGUGUAGAGGUGAAAUUCGUAGAUAUUCGCAAGAACACCAGUGGCGAAGGCGGCUCACUGGCCCGAUACUGACGCUGAGGCACGAAAGCGUGGGGAGCAAACAGG
rnacentral:rRNA from 1 species